UCGUGGGAAUCUGCCCUCAGGAGGGGGAUAACGGCUGGAAACGGCCGCUAAUACCCCAUAUGCCGAGAGGUGAAAUGAAUUUCGCCUGAGGAUGAGCCCGCGUCUGAUUAGCUAGUUGGUGGGGUAAUGGCCUACCAAGGCAACGAUCAGUAGCUGGUCUGAGAGGAUGAUCAGCCACACUGGGACUGAGACACGGCCCAGACUCCUACGGGAGGCAGCAGUGGGGAAUUUUCCGCAAUGGGCGAAAGCCUGACGGAGCAACGCCGCGUGAGGGAUGAAGGCCUCUGGGCUGUAAACCUCUUUUCUCAAGGAAGAAGAUCUGACGGUACUUGAGGAAUAAGCCACGGCUAAUUCCGUGCCAGCAGCCGCGGUAAUACGGGAGUGGCAAGCGUUAUCCGGAAUUAUUGGGCGUAAAGCGUCCGCAGGCGGCCUUGUAAGUCUGUUGUUAAAGCGUGGAGCUCAACUCCAUUUAAGCAAUGGAAACUACAAGGCUGGAGUGUGGUAGGGGCAGAGGGAAUUCCCGGUGUAGCGGUGAAAUGCGUAGAUAUCGGGAAGAACACCAGUGGCGAAGGCGCUCUGCUGGGCCAUAACUGACGCUCAUGGACGAAAGCCAGGGGAGCGAAAGGGAUUAGAUACCCCUGUAGUCCUGGCCGUAAACGAUGAACACUAGGUGUCGGGGGAAUCGACCCCCUCGGUGUCGUAGCCAACGCGUUAAGUGUUCCGCCUGGGGAGUACGCACGCAAGUGUGAAACUCAAAGGAAUUGACGGGGGCCCGCACAAGCGGUGGAGUAUGUGGUUUAAUUCGAUGCAACGCGAAGAACCUUACCAGGGUUUGACAUCCUGCGAACCCCUGAGAAAUCGGGGGGUGCCUUCGGGAGCGCAGAGACAGGUGGUGCAUGGCUGUCGUCAGCUCGUGUCGUGAGAUGUUGGGUUAAGUCCCGCAACGAGCGCAACCCACGUCUUUAGUUGCCAGCAUUCAGUUGGGCACUCUAGAGAGACCGCCGGUGAUAAACCGGAGGAAGGUGUGGAUGACGUCAAGUCAUCAUGCCCCUUACAUCCUGGGCUACACACGUACUACAAUGCUACGGACAAAGGGCAGCAAGCUCGCGAGAGUUAGCAAAUCCCAUAAACCGUGGCUCAGUUCAGAUCGUAGGCUGCAACUCGCCUACGUGAAGGAGGAAUCGCUAGUAAUCGCAGGUCAGCAUACUGCGGUGAAUACGUUCCCGGGCCUUGUACACACCGCCCGUCACACCAU
rnacentral:rRNA from 1 species